rnacentral:lncRNA from 1 species
AUAUAUUAAUUUAAAUUAAUAUAUUAAUUUCAAAAAAAAAAUAAUAUAUUAAAUAUUAUUUCAUUUUUAAUCUAAUCAAUUCACCGAAUAAUUUCUGAUCAUCCAAUUAAUUUCUAAUUAAAAUUUACGUUGACUAAUAUCGAUUAUAAAUUUUUGCAAUCACGAAAACAAGUCUUAAACGUAGAAUGGCCACUAAAAUAAAGACGAGCAUGUAAAAAUAUCAUUCGCGGACAAGGGGGCUAAAUCGAAUGAAGUCUGUGGAUUGGGUUAAAGCCCAGCUAAUACAAAAUCACGGAGUUUAAGCUAUCUUGAAAAAUGAUUAUUCGUAUAAUACGGUAAAAACUAAUUUAAAGUCUAAAAUAAGUUAGAUCUGAUCAAAAACCGGAAGUUAGCUUGAAGUACUCCCUCCGUCACUUAAUUAUUUUCCUGUUUCAUUUUAUCAUGCUUUCCAACACACAUUUUUUAUCAUUAAUAUAUUUAAUAAUUUUUAAUUUUAUUGGUAUGUUUUAAAAUAAGUCAUAAACGAUUUUUAAUUUUAUAAUCAUAUUUUCAUAACACAAGAAGUCAUUAAUAAAGAGACAUUUUUAUAUUCUGAAUUUAUUACAUUAAGACCAUGGUGGUGUGGGCUUUAAACCCUUACUUAAAACUACUAAUUUUGAUUUUAAAUUGAUUCGUUGUAGAGUAUACUCAUGACUAAGUAAACUCAGGAUAGAUAUGACCCCAUGUACGAUAGAUAUGACCCCAUGUGCGAUUGUGCCCUAUUCCCUUCUUGCAUUUUCAAGAUAGUUUACGAAUUUUUCACUAGACAAGCUUGCUCCCUGCUGAGCUGGCGCGGGGCAUUCUGUGGUUGCGUUUAAUGAGGUGGGUGUGAGUGAGGUUACGGCGGUGGAGAUUGUGGAGUCAACGAAUGUGAAUCUGUUCUUUUAAAAGGAUGAUUCAUCUCAUAUCCAAAGGGAAGUGAUUAGAUAGUAACUUGUUUGUUUGUGUUUAUAUAUAUUUCUGCUUUUGUAAUGUCCGUAAUUAUUUCAGUCGAUGUGAUUUUGUUUCUUAUCACCAUCUCAUAUACAUAUACAGUAUCCAGAAGUAUAUUUUUUAGGUUAUUGUGAUCAUUCAGUGGCUCCGUGUUUGAUGGUAUCCCUCAUUUGUAAACUACGAGAGAGGCAGCGGUGGUGAUCAAAGAAGAUGACGUUGACCGAGAUUGUUCCGGGUUCCGUGAGUCGGUUUCAGAAAGGAAAUGGUUAAUUGUGCCGUAAUUAGGGCCUAAUUGUCUCUUAAUUAAGAGUUUAUCAUGCCUUAAUUGAGGCGUUUUUUCUCUCUUUAUUGAGAGUUUGACUUUUUGAUAAUUGUUCUCUAUUUGAGGGUUUUAUUGUCUCAUUAAUGAUUUAUCAAGAUUGUGAGAAUAUUUUGACUUGUUGUAUAUUUUUAAUUAAUUGUCUUUUAUCAUAUGUUUUGUUUUAAAUUUCUAUAUUAUUUUUAUCUUCUCGUUUAUUUAACACCUACAAUUAUUUUGCAGGUUCAACAUAAAAAUAUUGUAGCUUACGAAAUUUUGAAGAUAGCCGAUUGAAAGAAAUAUAAGUGUAUACGUCAUUGGAUGCUAAUUGGGCGAUAAUUGUACCUUAAUUAAGGAUAUUAAUUAUUCUUAAUUAAUGGUUUUUGUACCAUUUAUGGCGACCAUGAUUGGGGCAUUUUUGGCCCAUAGAGGCAUUUAAGUGCCAUAAUUUUGGCUCAUUUAUGUCUUUAUUUUAAUUUUUUCAAACUCGCUCAUUUUCUUUUCAUUCGGUUUUGUCUUAUUUUCAGGAUGUUUGAAAGAGAUUUAAAGAAUUUACUUAUUAAAGCUGCCUCCGACAAGACGUCAACCAUGGUGUCCCAAACAGUUGAGCUACAAAUAUUGAUAGAAAGGAAUAAAGAAGACAUCAGUUUUUAGUCUGUCUUGUAAUCGAUGUAAUUUUGUAGGGCACUCUUUUUCCCCCUUGAGUUUUUUUCCCAUAGGGUUUUUACUCUUGAGGGGUUUUAACGAGGCCCUUUUUUUGUGAGUUAUCUCUUCUGACUUGAAAGGCUAUGCUGUCUAAGCUUCCGGAGUAUUUACAUACUUUCGGUUAGAUGAUAUACCUUCUUAGAUGAAGGAAACUCUGUCCAUCCGGAUAUUGUAUCUUCCUAUCUUGGUAUAAUACAACCGUUUUAUGACCCCAAAAAAAAAAAAAAGUAAACAAUACUCCCUCCGUCCCUUUGAAUUUUAUACGCUUUCCUUUUUUAGAUGUCCCACUCAAUUCUAUACAUUUUAAAACUUUUCUAAAAUAGCAACUUUUUAUAAUAUAAAAAUCUCAACCACCCACUAUUUUCAUCCACCUUUUCAAAUCUAUCAAUUAAAUAUCAAUGGGUCUCGCCACUUUACCCA